GUACCUGACUAAUAAGCACCGGCUAAAUACGUGCCACCAGCCGCGGUAAUACGUAUGGUGCAAGCGUUAUCCGGAUUUACUGGGUGUAAAGGGAGCGUAGGCGGAAUGCUAAGUCUGAUGUGAAAGCCCGGGGCUCAACCCCGGUACUGCAUUGGAAACUGAUCAUCUAUAGUGUCGGAGGGGUAAGUGGAAUUCCUAGUGUAGCGGUGAAAUGCGUAUAUAUUAGGAGGAACACCAGUGGCGAAGGCGGCUUACUGGACGAUAACUGACGCUGAUGCUCGAAAGCGUGUGGAGCUAACAGGAUUAAAUACCCUGGUAGUCCACGCCGUAAACGAUGACUACUAGGUGUCGGGAAGCACAGCUUUUCGGUGCCGCCCCAAACGCACUAAGUAUUCCACCUGUGGAGUACGUUCGCAAGAAUGAAACUCAAAGGAAUUGACGGGGACCCGCACAAGCGGUGGAGCAUGUGGUGUAAUUCGAAGCAACGCGAAGAACCUUACCAAGUCUUGACAUCUCUCUGACCGGCCAGUAAUGUGUCCUUUCCUUCGGGACGGAAAUGACAGGUGGUGCAUGGUUGUCGUCAGCUCGUGUCGUGAGAUGUUGGGUUAAGUCCCGCAACGAGCGCAACCCCUAUCUUCAGUAGCCAGCGGUUAGGCCGGGCACUCUGAGGAGACUGCCAGGGAUAACCUGGAGGAAGGUGGGGAUGACGUCAAAUCAUCAUGCCCCUUAUGAGCUGGGCUACACACGUGCUACAAUGGCGUAAACAAAGGGAAGCGAGACCGUGAGGUGGAGCAAAUCCCAAAAAUAACGUCUCAGUUCGGAUUGUAGUCUGCAACUCGACUGCAUGAAGCUGGAAUCGCUAGUAAUCGCGGAUCAGAAUGUUGCGGUGAAUACGUUCCCGGGUCUUGUACACACCGCCCGUCACACCAUGGGAGUUGGAAACGCCCGAAGUCAGUGACCCAACCGCAAGGAGGGAGCUGCCGAAGGCAGGAUCGAUAACUGGGGUGAAGUCAUA
rnacentral:rRNA from 1 species